UAUCUCCCCAUACCCUAACUCCUUUCCCAAAGUAGGCAGAAAAACAGCCCUGUUAUUCCGGUGGAAGCCUUAGAUCUGUAUUCCUUUUAGACUGUAUUUCAAAACGCAUUAUUAGAGCCCCAAAGUCACCUGGCUGAGCAGGAUUUAGGUAUUGUACAAAACAACACGUUACUCUCUUGAUAUCUGUUUCCCUCAAUAUUUUAAAGCAAAUCUACUUAAAGCAGAGACCAAGUUUUUUUAGUAAAUGGUAAGGGGGAAGUUUUGAGUGGAAUUUUACCAUGAAAAAUGAUACUAAAAUUGUGAAAGCAAGAAAAAUCACUUAUAGAAACUGAUGGUGAGAAACUCAGGACUUUGUUAAAUAUUCAAGACCUACAUUAUAGACUGUAAAAAGAGGAACCCACUGCCCAAUGGAGAAUGUUUUUGAAGUCCACAGAUAAUAUCGUCUACAAUUUAUUUUCUCUGCUGAAAAAAGAAACUCAUGCAGGAAACAUUUUGAAACCAAGUAAAUAAAACAGAGAUGCCCGCAAUUUCCUGCAAGUCUGACUAAAAAUAGGAAACUCUGCAAUCAUGAAAGUCGCUCAUCUGGCAGCUGCAAGUCCAUACCUUGGGAAGCUGAAAUCACUGGCAGCUGCAGAAAGCAGCAUGUGACAGGUGUUCAUCCGUGACCUUUUGGGGAAAAAAGGCUACAUUUCAGGGGCAUAUAUGAACAAACAUAUAAGUGGCUUCUUAAUAAUAAAAGUUAGAUGUCAAAAAUUAUUUACUUUCUCUCCUUCUCAUUUCCAUCCCCACCCUAGUCUUCCAGUUCUGCCCAAUCCAUGCUCUCCAAAGUAAAUUCUAAUUCCUCGCACCCAGGAGAUAGACUGAA
rnacentral:lncRNA from 1 species